rnacentral:rRNA from 1 species
UGGGGAAUAUUGCACAAUGGGCGCAAGCCUGAUGCAGCCAUGCCGCGUGUGUGAAGAAGGCCUUCGGUUGUAAAGCACUUUCAGCGAGGAGGAAGGUGGUGAACUUAAUACGUUCAUCAAUUGACGUUACUCGCAGAAGAAGCACCGGCUAACUCCGUGCCAGCAGCCGCGGUAAUACGGAGGGUGCAAGCGUUAAUCGGAAUUACUGGGCGUAAAGCGCACGCAGGCGGUUUGUUAAGUCAGAUGUGAAAUCCCCGGGCUCAACCUGGGAACUGCAUUUGAAACUGGCAAGCUAGAGUCUCGUAGAGGGGGGCUAGAAUUCCAGGUGUAGCGGUGAAAUGCGUAGAGAUCUGGAGGAAUACCGGUGGCGAAGGCGGCCCCCUGGACGAAGACUGACGCUCAGGUGCGAAAGCGUGGGGCAGCAAACAGGAUUAGAUGCCCUGGUAGUCCACGCUGUAAAGCGAUGUCGAUUUUGGAGGUUGUGCCCUUGAGGCGUGGCUUCCGGAGCUAACGCGUUAAAUCGACCGCCUGGGGGAGUACGGCCGCAAGGUUAAAAGCUCAAAUGAAUUGACGGGGUCNUAGCU